AAUAUAUUAUUUGCAUGGAUCGAAAAAAAGAGGAGAUGCAUUCUUAGAUUGAGCUCUUCAAACGCGUGAUUGGAACCUGUUGCAUGAAAGAAUAUUUAGUUUUGGAUUUGCAAGUUAAUUACUGGAAAUUCAUGAAAACGGUAAGUGUAAACAUUAAAAGAAAGAGGUAAAUGAAAUAUAUUGUUCAUGAGGCCAGGUAAUUUUAUUAUGAUAUUUAUCAUAAGAGCUAUAAAUUUUUGAAUUAAAUGGUGUGAGUUUGUCAAAUGUUCGAUAAGCUUCUACAUUGGCACAAAUGUUUGUUUUCUUUGCCUUAUUAAACAAAUUAAAAAAAAAAAAAAAAAAAAAAAGUUAAGACAGACGAACCUUACAUCUUUAACAUUGUUAAGAAAUAAUUAGAAUCCACAUAAAAUAUAAUGCUAGUGGGUGGAAAUUUUUUUAUUAUUUUAUUCUUUUAUCGAUUUAGUUGAGACAAUUUGUAAUUCAUCGUAAAGGUAACAUGCCUAACAUGCUCAUAAAGAAAAACAACUACCAAAUGUAUUAAUGCAUUUUCAUUAUUAUACCAUCCAACACAACAGCUUGUUAUCAUUUUGUUUUAUGUAGCUAAGUAACUAACUAUACAGAAUAUGUUCUCACACAAAGAGUAAAGCAAAAUAAACUAUCUUAUCUACAUGUAACUUUCUAUAUGAAAUCUGAUAUGAUAACCUAAGAAAGAGAGCAUUAACAUACUAUAAAUUUACACAAAUCGUAGGUUAACAUAUAAAAGUUCUUUACGAUGUCUAAGCAAAAAACCCUUUUCAAAAUAAUGUUUUUCGAACUCUUCAAUAAUGUAAAGAGGUGCCUGUCGAAUCCUCCAAAAGUAAUGCAUUGUUGGAGGAUCCGACACGGGUGCUCUUGGAAAAUCCGACCGACAGAGCAAAAUAUUAUAAGUUUCUUUCUAUGGCUGUUCUAUAUCGAAAGAUGUAGAUUUGUUUUCUGAAUAGUUCUUUCAUGAACCUUGAUAUAAAGCUUAAUAACAAUGGAUUCAUGUUCGAUUGGACUAAUGUAUAUAUCACAAUUCUCUUCAUGGCAGAGCUUAAACGCAGUAGGUAAAUUCCCUAAUAUGCUCCAUUAGUGGAUGGAGUUAGUGGGGCGGAAGGGGUUCAUUUAAGAUGAACCUCCUUCACCGGAAAGUAGAAGGUACGCUCCCUAUCAACUUUCUAGUAGUUAAAGCUUACAAGCAGUAGGUACAUUCCCUAAUAUGCUCCAUCAGUGGACGUAGUUAGUGG
rnacentral:lncRNA from 1 species